UGGGAAAUUUAUACUGUAAUUAUAGUUUAACAAAAACAUUAGAUUGUGAAUCUAAUAAUAUUA
rnacentral:tRNA from 1 species